UGCACAUGGCAGUUUGAGGCUGUAAACAUCCCCGACUGGAAGCUGUCACUCAGAAGAGCUUUCAGUCUGAUGUUUACCACCUCCGACCGCCUCCUGCU
ensembl:miRNA mir30d microRNA mir-30d